rnacentral:rRNA from 1 species
GGAUAUCUUGGCUCUUGCAACGAUGAAGAACGCAGCGAAAUGCGAUACGUAGUGUGAAUUGCAGAAUUCCGCGAAUCAUCGAGUCUUUGAACGCAAGUUGCGCCCGAGGCUUGUCCGAGGGCAUUUCCGCUAGAGCGUCACC